CAGGGAGACAACAAAAAUGUUUAAUAUUAUUAUUUUGUCAACCUUAAGGUCGAUCGGUAUCUCACGUUUUUAAUUAAUUAAAGAAUUUCAUUUCCUAAGUUUUUCUAGGUCACACCCAUUAUUUUCCUGGGCCAUUAGCUCAGGUGGUUAGAGCGCACCCCUGAUAAGGGUGAGGUCCCUGGUUCAAGUCCAGGAUGGCCCAUAUCUCUAUGUUGGGGGUAUAGCUCAGUUGGUAGAGCGCCUGCUUUGCAAGCAGGAUGUCAGCGGUUCGAGUCCGCUUACCUCCACUGAUUACCACCUCUUCCAUAAUUUGUAGAAAGGAAAUGUUUUUGAGUUGUGAUCAAAUUCUGAACGUUUCUAGCUUUCCUAAUGAAUUUAAUUAAAUGGCUGGAUCAUUAAUUAUUUAUUGUUUUCAGAGAACCUUGACAACUGCAUAGAUUAUUUUUAAAGACAAUAAGCAUCUUUAAUGAUGCAGAUUUAUUAUUUGUGCGAAUGCAUUAAUAACAAUUCUAUUAAGCUGAUGCUUCAA
rnacentral:tRNA from 1 species